UGGNGUCUUUAUUCAGAUGGCCUUCUACC
rnacentral:piRNA from 1 species